GUUUUCUCGCGUAAAAUUACGCCCCAGCUUGCAAUCGAUUUUCGACAUCUCGAGAAUCGUCGUCGCUUUUGUAUAAAAUCGUGCGACGAUGGAGAUUUUAUUUCGACACAAUUAAUAUCUGACGUGUGGACUAUCUGUGUGUUCCUUAAUUCGGUCUACAUCUUUUACAACGCCAGUUUGAGGAAAAGUAUUACAGAAAUGUCCCGCGUAGUGUGGAUUGGAUCAAACCACUGUGUGAUGCAACUUUGCGAGAGGAAUUCCUACAACAAACUGUACAAUUUAUUGAAUGUAUUUGAACACAUGGAAUGUUGCUUUGAAUGGAUACGCGCAUAAUGAACACUUACACAAUAACAAUGAGAAUGAUAACGAUUUUCCCGGACGAGAAAAGUCAUCUUUGAACUCGUAUCGAAUAAUAAUAUCCUUUAGAAUGACGCUUCUCUCGCGAUGCUAUCUCGCAAUCGCGUUUCCCGUCGCAGAUCUGACGUGUGUUUACUUCGUUUCAUCUCGUCGGUCGGCUCUUUCGCGGUGUGUCUGCUAAUUAAAAACAAUAUUUUUUUUCUCCGGAGCGAGAAAUCGUUGUAAAAAAUUGGCGCGAUACAAGUCGCACAAAAGUCGCUGAAAGUUUUGAUCUAAUUUAUAUUCGGAAGCGGAGUUUUGUUUAUUCAAUAAACAGUUUGCAAAAAUUCAAAUGGAUUUCCCAACGCAAAUAAUUGCGAUAAUUUAUAUAAAUAUGUAAACUUCUCCGCGACAAUUCUGUUUUGGAUACAUAAGUAAAAAAGAACGCUUGAAAAUAAAUGUAAGCAAACUUUGAGUUCAGGUUUACAUGUUUCAUUUUUUUCUCUCUCUUACAUCAUGGGAACCAGAGACGUGCUAUCUCGUCUGAUAUUUUUUUGUUAAAUUUUAUAUACACACAAAUUGUUCCUCACAAAGAUGUAGCCACGUGUAAAAUAAUCCUUUCUUAUGCAUAGUUUCUUUGGUGCGAGACAGAAAGAGAGAGAGAGAGAGAGAGAGAGAGAGAGAGAGAGAGAGAGAGAGAAAAUAUAAAACACAUGUAGAACUGAACAAAAGUUUUUUAUUCUUGUUCACGGGAGGUCAAGAGAUAAAAGAAACAGAACUCGUGUGUUUCAGAGAAGAAAAAUCGAAUUCACGCGGAGCCGCGUACGUAUGUAGGCGCGCACACACACGUGAGUGUCAGAGGUCGAAUGUAUAAAAAAGCAGGUUCUGUACAUUAAGAACACUUUCGUCGAUCCUCAAAAUGCGCUCGUGUUGUACAAAGAUAAGAGAUUUAUUGCCUAUUACAUAUUAAUAUCGCACGUGUCACUGCUCCCUGUAUGAAGAAACAAAAUUUGAUUUGCAACCAAACGGAGGUUCGUGUCUCACGUUUGUGUCGCAAUAAAAUACCGUAAUAGCGCAAUACACAAUUUCCCGGAAAUUAUUUUAUCGGAUGACGUGAACGCGUAAUGUGACUAAUUUUACUCUUGCUUUCUGUAAAGUUAGAGAAAAAAAGAGAGAGAGAGAGAGCGAGAAAGAGAGGACGGGAUGGGAGAGGAAAGGAAGAAGUGGAGCUCGAAACUGGUUUUUCACGAAAAAGAGAAUUGGAACUCAACAACUGCAUACAGCUUAAAAGAAGCUAAUUUCUCGGAAAUGUAAUAAGAGUAUUGAAAUUAUUCUCUUUAGAACAGAUGAUGUGACACGUUUGAAGUGAGGUAUUAAAUAGUUAGUUUUUGCUUAUCAACUUACGUAUAUCAGAUCUCUUUGCGCUUAAUCAUUUUACUCUCUAUUACGUUCUAUAUAUAUAUAUAUAUUGUAUAAUGAAGUGCCGAGAUCUGAUUAUCUUUCAUGUUGUCUUGCGAAUCUUUUUUUUCACGCUCGCGCACGAUCAGAUAAUAAACUGUGCGCGCAUAUCUCGGCGCGAUAUCAAUUCGCGCUAUUAUUAUUUUUUUUUUUUUGUGUUCUUUAAUUUUUAAAACAUUACCACGAAGGACAAUGACCAGCGUUAAUGCAAAUGCGCGCGUGUAUUGUAAAGCGAGAAUAUUGUACAUCAUAUGAGCGAUAAGCUCGCUAUCGAGAGGCGCAGUCGAUUUAUUUGCUGCGCAACUUUAUACUACGUAUGUACGUAUAUAAAUUUUUGCAGAGAGAGGAAAAACUACACGCGAUAUGUUCGUCGCGAAUGUACGUAUUUUAUUAACUAUUCUUUUCUCUUCCGCGGUGUAUAGAUUAGAUUUCGAUUAGAUCGUUUGACACGUGAAAAUCGAUAGCCGUCGUAUACGUCGUUGUAUAUGACGCUGCAAAUAUCGUGCACAACGCAUCCGACGGAAACAUAAUUAUUAAAGCGAGAAGCGGCAAGGUCAACGACGAACGAAUGUAAUGCAACUUUGGUUUGCACGGCGUGUGCACAGAAAGUAAACAAGCAACGAAACGCUGUGUAUCAUCUAAUCGACGAAUCGUCGUUCUAAUCGUCGUUGCGCAUAAUUACGACGACCUUGCGCGUCUAUUGGACUCAGCAGGCCGGAGAAGCUGAAUCAAUCUCUGUUGUUUCUGCGUCGCAACGGGAAAGACGCGCGAGAGAAGUGUCUUCGAACUUCUUUUGUGUGUGACUUCGAGAUCCGAUGAUAUUCAAACAAACUCCCUCAACUCUUUUUUGACACGACAAACAUCUCGUUCUCAGAAAGAUGUGAUAAUACGAGCUGCUCUUGUGAACGCUUUCGAACUGCAAUGUGCAAAGAUAUAAAUUUUAUCUCGCGUGCAUAUAUAUUGUAUUACACACGCACAAAAGCCUAGAGACAGAAAGAAGGCGAGGAAAAAGGUUGAGAAAAAGUUGGAAAAAAAAAAAAGAGACAAACGCGAAAGGCAUUUGCAGUAUUAAUUAACGAUAUAUAAAAACUGUUUUAUUUGUGAAAGCGAACUUUUAUACUAACGAUGGAAAAUUUAUAAACUUUAAGUGUGUUAUAUUUAUAUAUACGUAUCACACACACAGCUGUGUAUAAUAAAUAAAGAGAACUUAAAGAAAACUUAUAUCUUCUCUGUACAUUUUUUUCUAAUGAAAAAUAAAGUACGACGCGAGUUCUUUCUUUUUGUAUGUAUAAACAAAAAAACAGAAGAAACGUUUGAAUUUUUGACUUUGUUGGCAACUUUACAACAUCAAACACAACACAUAUACAUUUCUAUUUUUUGUUGAUAACUUUGUAAUCAGUAUAUAUAUGUAUAUAUUUACAUAUGUAUACAUACAUACAUAAAUUAUAUUUAUAUAUAUAUAUAUAUGUACAUUUGCAUUGAUAUUACAAAGCCGCUGGCAAAGCCAAGAAUGCGCUUGCUGAAGAAGCAGAUCUAAUAAUACGCGUGAUGUAAUGCUGCAAUUUUACUUGCUGCUUCUUUACUUUCAUGAACACAACGAGAAAAAAAAAAAAAAAAAAAGAAACACUUCUUUAAUGCAAUUGAAAUGAUAUGGACUACUAGUAGUUUAGUCGUAAUCUUUUUUUUGACUACUUUUUAUGCGGAUCAUUAAAGUAAUUAAUUUUAUAAAUUAAUGACAUUACGCAACUUAAGUGUUUCUAGAAGAGAAGAUUAUACUUCAUCAUGUCACUUGGCGCUUACUUAACGAUUUUUUUAUCUUAUCGAUAAUUUCUAUCUUGUUUAAUUUUAUAUAUUUAUAUAUAUAUAUAUAUAUAUAUAUAUAUGGAGUUGUUAGGAUAAGAAUACUUGUGAGCGAGUUAUUAUAUCGUUGGACCUAUUCGCGGUAUAAAAGUUACGAUUACAUAUAAAAAAUCACAGUCUUAUAAAUAUAUUUCGUUUUGCGCACAUGGGGUGCACUGAUUAUGUAAUAUUGUGUCGUAAAAAACUUUUUCGCAUAUUAUACUUUUAUAUUAAAAUCAAAAGCUAGCGCAGAUAUACGUGUAUGCAACACAUUGCGCAACAAAUAUACAUUGAAGGUAACUUCACAUUGAAGAUUUUCUUGAAGUCAAUAUCCUAUCUAAAGAACCGAAAAAAUUUUCUAUUUCUAAAUUUCGAGUUUUAAACAACAACAAUUGCGCCUAAAUAUGUUCGUCUAAAACUUAAAUCUAUUAGAUAAUUAAUCUCUUGUGCUAAGAGUUUGUGUAUCCACACACACAAACUUUUAUAAAUUUUAAUAAAAGUAUUUUUCUUAAUUUCAUUUCUUCUAGCAAAGUUGAUGUAAUCCUCCGCAGAUAUGUGUACAGGAGAGAAGCUGUACAUAUCCUAUUAAAAAAGAACGACCUAUAUAUUUCUAAAGAGCCUUCGCUUUGUCACAUACACACACAUGCACACACACAUUUGGAUAUUAGAAAUUCUAAUGUAUCUCAAUUGUAAUCCAACUCUUUCGUCAGACAAGUAUGGAAGAGUUUUGGUCAAAAAUAUUAACAUUUCUCACUAAUGUUCACGUCUGAAUUAGUUAUAGAAGCAUUUUUUGAACCCGUUAGAUCUAUAAUAAUAUAAAUAUCAAACUUUACAAGCGUCAAUAAGUAUGUAACUUUUAAGUAUUAUAUAAUCUUUAGUACUUUUUUUUAUCCUUUUUUAAAUUCUUGUUUAUAUAUAUAUUAUAUGUACGUGUAACGUGUAAAAUAUCACUCUUACAUAAAUAAUUUCAUAACAUCUGGAAAAAGCACUCUUGUUUCAAAGAAACAGACAUAAACGUUAAAAAUUCAGAUGAUAAAAAAACACUCAUGAUGCUUAUACACAUAUUGAAUACAUGUAUAUUUGUUAUUCAGUUUAAUAAAACUUCACCGACGUAUGCACGCGCACAGUUACAUACACAUAUACAACACACACGUAGCAAGAUGAAUACAAGAAAUCACACACUGUAUAUUUAUUAUACAAUCUGUAUUGCUGUAUGAAAAACGAAAAACAAGAAAACUAAAAAAAAAAAAAAA